rnacentral:rRNA from 1 species
UACGGAGGGUGCAAGCGUUAUCCGGAUUCACUGGGUUUAAAGGGUGCGUAGGUGGGUUGGUAAGUCAGUGGUGAAAUCCCCGAGCUUAACUUGGGAACUGCCAUUGAUACUAUCAGUCUUGAAUACCGUGGAGGUCAGCGGAAUAUGUCAUGUAGCGGUGAAAUGCUUAGAUAUGACAUAGAACACCAAUUGCGAAGGCAGCUGGCUACACGAAUAUUGACACUGAGGCACGAAAGCGUGGGGAGCGAACAGG